GACGAACGCUGGCGGCGUGCCUAACACAUGCAAGUCGAGCGAAUGAAGUUCCUUCGGGAAUGGAUUUAGCGGCGGACGGGUGAGUAACACGUGGGCAACCUGCCUCAUAGAGGGGAAUAGCCUCCCGAAAGGGAGAUUAAUACCGCAUAAGAUUGUAGUACCGCAUGAUACAGCAAUUAAAGGAGCAAUCCGCUAUGAGAUGGGCCCGCGGCGCAUUAGCUAGUUGGUGAGGUAAUGGCUCACCAAGGCGACGAUGCGUAGCCGACCUGAGAGGGUGAUCGGCCACAUUGGGACUGAGACACGGCCCAGACUCCUACGGGAGGCAGCAGUGGGGAAUAUUGCACAAUGGGGGAAACCCUGAUGCAGCAACGCCGCGUGAGUGAUGACGGCCUUCGGGUUGUAAAGCUCCGUCUUCAGGGACGAUAAUGACGGUACCUGAGGAGGAAGCCACGGCUAACUACGUG
rnacentral:rRNA from 1 species